AUUGAACGCUAGCGGGAUGCCUUACACAUGCAAGUCGAACGGAGUGGCGAACGGGGGAGUAAUGUAUCGGAACGUGCCCGGUAGCGGGGGAUAACUACGCGAAAGAGUAGCUAAUACAGCAGAAUCUUGGAGCGGCCGAUACGGGAUUAGCUAGUUGGUGAGGUAAGGGAUCACAAAGGCGACGAUCCGUAGCUGGUUUGAGAGGAUGACCAGCCACACUGGGACUGAGACACGGCCCAGACUCCUACGGGAGGCAGCAGUGGGGAAUUUUGGACAAUGGGGGAAAGCCUGAUCCAGCCAUCCCGCGUGUGCGAUGAAGGCCUUCGGGUUGUAAAGCACUUUUGGCAUGAAAGCGGUACCUGCAGAAUAAGCACCGGCUAACUACGUGCCAGCAGCCGCGGUAAUAC
rnacentral:rRNA from 1 species